rnacentral:rRNA from 1 species
UUAAGCGACUAAGCGUACACGGUGGAUGCCCUGGCAGUCAGAGGCGAUGAAGGACGUGCUAAUCUGCGAAAAGCGCCGGCGAGGUGAUAUGAACCCUUGACCCGGCGAUGUCCGAAUGGGGAAACCCAGUGCAAUCCGUUGCACUAUCGUUAACUGAAUACAUAGGUUAACGAGGCGAACCGGGGGAACUGAAACAUCUAAGUACCCCGAGGAAAAGAAAUCAACCGAGAUUCCCCCAGUAGCGGCGAGCGAACGGGGAGCAGCCCGGAGUCUGAAUCAGCUUGUGUGUUAGUGGAACGGUCUGGAAAGUCCGACGGUACAGGGUGAUAGUCCCGUACACGAAAGCACACUUGCUGUGAACUCGAAGAGUAGGGCGGGACACGUGGUAUCCUGUCUGAAUAUGGGGGGACCAUCCUCCAAGGCUAAAUACUCCUGACUGACCGAUAGUGAACCAGUACCGUGAGGGAAAGGCGAAAAGAACCCCGGCGAGGGGAGUGAAAAAGAACCUGAAACCGUGUACGUACAAGCAGUGGGAGCCUCUUUAUGGGGUGACUGCGUACCUUUUGUAUAAUGGGUCAGCGACUUAUAUUCUGUAGCAAGGUUAACCGUAUAGGGGAGCCGAAGGGAAACCGAGUCUUAACUGGGCGUUAAGUUGCAGGGUAUAGACCCGAAACCCGGUGAUCUAGCCAUGGGCAGGUUGAAGGUUGGGUAACACUAACUGGAGGACCGAACCGACUAAUGUUGAAAAAUUAGCGGAUGACCUGUGGCUGGGGGUGAAAGGCCAAUCAAACCGGGAGAUAGCUGGUUCUCCCCGAAAGCUAUUUAGGUAGCGCCUCGUGAACUCAUCUUCGGGGGUAGAGCACUGUUUCGGCUAGGGGGCCAUCCCGGCUUACCAACCCGAUGCAAACUACGAAUACCGAAGAAUGUUAUCACGGGAGACACACGGCGGGUGCUAACGUCCGUCGUGAAGAGGGAAACAACCCAGACCGCCAGCUAAGGUCCCAAAGUCAUGGUUAAGUGGGAAACGAUGUGGGAAGGCACAGACAGCCAGGAUGUUGGCUUAGAAGCAGCCAUCAUUUAAAGAAAGCGUAAUAGCUCACUGGUCGAGUCGGCCUGCGCGGAAGAUGUAACGGGGCUAAACCAUGCACCGAAGCUGCGGCAGCGACGCUUAUGCGUUGUUGGGUAGGGGAGCGUUCUGUAAGCCGUUGAAGGUGUGCUGUGAGGCAUGCUGGAGGUAUCAGAAGUGCGAAUGCUGACAUAAGUAACGAUAAAGCGGGUGAAAAGCCCGCUCGCCGGAAGACCAAGGGUUCCUGUCCAACGUUAAUCGGGGCAGGGUGAGUCGACCCCUAAGGCGAGGCCGAAAGGCGUAGUCGAUGGGAAACAGGUUAAUAUUCCUGUACUUGGUGUUACUGCGAAGGGGGGACGGAGAAGGCUAUGUCAGCCGGGCGACGGUUGUCCCGGUUUAAGCAUGUAGGCGGAGGUUCCAGGUAAAUCCGGUACCUUUUAACGCUGAGGUGUGAUGACGAGGCACUACGGUGCUGAAGUGAUAAAUGCCCUGCUUCCAGGAAAAGCCUCUAAGCAUCAGGUAACACGAAAUCGUACCCCAAACCGACACAGGUGGUCAGGUAGAGAAUACCAAGGCGCUUGAGAGAACUCGGGUGAAGGAACUAGGCAAAAUGGUGCCGUAACUUCGGGAGAAGGCACGCUGAUGUGUAGGUGAAGCCCCUGCGGGCGGAGCUGAAAUCAGUCGAAGAUACCAGCUGGCUGCAACUGUUUAUUAAAAACACAGCACUGUGCAAACACGAAAGUGGACGUAUACGGUGUGACGCCUGCCCGGUGCCGGAAGGUUAAUUGAUGGGGUUAGCGGCAACGCGAAGCUCUUGAUCGAAGCCCCGGUAAACGGCGGCCGUAACUAUAACGGUCCUAAGGUAGCGAAAUUCCUUGUCGGGUAAGUUCCGACCUGCACGAAUGGCGUAAUGAUGGCCAGGCUGUCUCCACCCGAGACUCAGUGAAAUUGAACUCGCUGUGAAGAUGCAGUGUACCCGCGGCAAGACGGAAAGACCCCGUGAACCUUUACUAUAGCUUGACACUGAACACUGGUCCUUGAUGUGUAGGAUAGGUGGGAGGCUUUGAAGCGUGGACGCCAGUCUGCGUGGAGCCAACCUUGAAAUACCACCCUUUAAUGGCUGGUGUUCUAACGUAGACCCGUAAUCCGGGUUGCGGACAGUGUCUGGUGGGUAGUUUGACUGGGGCGGUCUCCUCCCAAAGAGUAACGGAGGAGCACGAAGGUUGGCUAAUCCUGGUCGGACAUCAGGAGGUUAGUGCAAUGGCAUAAGCCAGCUUGACUGCGAGCGUGACGGCGCGAGCAGGUGCGAAAGCAGGUCAUAGUGAUCCGGUGGUUCUGAAUGGAAGGGCCAUCGCUCAACGGAUAAAAGGUACUCCGGGGAUAACAGGCUGAUACCGCCCAAGAGUUCAUAUCGACGGCGGUGUUUGGCACCUCGAUGUCGGCUCAUCACAUCCUGGGGCUGAAGUAGGUCCCAAGGGUAUGGCUGUUCGCCAUUUAAAGUGGUACGCGAGCUGGGUUUAGAACGUCGUGAGACAGUUCGGUCCCUAUCUGCCGUGGGCGCUGGAGAAUUGAGGGGGGCUGCUCCUAGUACGAGAGGACCGGAGUGGACGCAUCACUGGUGUUCGGGUUGUCAUGCCAAUGGCACUGCCCGGUAGCUAAAUGCGGAAGAGAUAAGUGCUGAAAGCAUCUAAGCACGAAACUUGCCCCGAGAUGAGUUCUCCCUGAGACUUUAAGUCUCCUGAAGGAACGUUGAAGACGACGACGUUGAUAGGUCGGGUGUGUAAGCGCAGCGAUGCGUUGAGCUAACCGAUACUAAUGAACCGUGAGGCUUAACCU